AGCGAGGUGGGGAAGUCAGGUUAUCCCGGCGGGCUCAUAACCCGCAGAGCGGUUUCUACUUUUGCAAAAUUGCAGGUGGCCGUAAGUUCAAAUCAACCCCUCGCUA
rnacentral:tRNA from 1 species